rnacentral:piRNA from 1 species
UCUCCUCAGAUUCGGUUUGCCACUC